rnacentral:rRNA from 1 species
UACAGGGGGUGCAAACGUUGCUCGGAAUUAUUGGGCGUAAAGCGCGUGUAGGCGGCUUUGCAAGUCGGGUGUGAAAGCCCUCGGCUCAACCGAGGAAGUGCGCCCGAAACUGCAGAGCUUGAGUACCGGAGAGGAUGGUGGAAUUCCCCAAGUAGAGGUGAAAUUCGUAGAUAUGGGGAGGAACACCGGUGGCGAAGGCGACCAUCUGGACGGAUACUGACGCUGAGAAGCGAAAGCAUGGGGAGCGAACAGG